UUUUGUUUUGAUUUAUGUUUACCAUUCUAAUUGUUUCAAUUAACUAAUUUAAUCAGUUUUAAUUGAUUAAUUUCUAUUGAAUUGUUAUGGGUGAAGAAAAUCCUGUUCUAGAUUUAGUUAAUAAAACUCGACCAACACGUUGGGAUAGAAAAAUAUUAUCUUUAUACAAAGUUUAUCCAUCUCCAAAUGAGAUUCCUGAAUUUGUAGCUCGGAGUACAAUUACCUUUUAUCGAAAUAAAUUCAGGAUUCAUUAUUCUAUUGGAACCAUGGUUUUGUUAAGCUUUGGAUUCGCUGGUGUAGCUUAUAUUGGAAACAAACACAUGGAAGCCAGAAACAAUCUCUUAUACAGUGAUUACCAAAAGGAAAUGAUGAAAAAGCAUUAAUCAAAUUAAUAUAAAUCAUAUUCUUAUAUACAUGUAUAAUAUAUUACAAUAAUAGAUUCAAUUCCUAGCAGGUUUAAUCUAUGUUAAUCACCAAGAUAUUCAAUCAGAUAUUCUAUCCAUUAAUCUACAAAAAUAAUAAUGUCUCUAUGGAAUAGUUGAUAAUAAUAAUUACAUUAUUAUUGUUAAUAUGAUUGUACAAAAAAUCAAUCUUUUAGUCAAAUUAGUUUAUUUGAUUGUAGUUCUAUCCUUCAAUCAGCUGAAUAAUUGACCAAAAGUUGAUUACGAUUGUAAAAUUGUACUUAAUCUAGAGUUUAUCUUAAUUUUGUGUCUAUUACUAACCAACAUUGUACAUGAGAUGAAUUAAUCUAAAUUGGAUUAUCACCAUUUUAAUGGUUAAGUUAAUCUGCUAAAUUGUGACACGAUAAAAAUAAAAAAGGUACAGAAAUGCCUGAUAUAUAAUAUAAAA